GGGAGCGGCGCCGCCGCCGGUGCGAGGAGCGAAGUAGAGGCAGAAACUUCUCCGCCGGGAGCCGGGCGUGCCGCGGGGACAAAGUCUGCGGGGGCUGCGGCGCUCCGCGGGCAGAUUGCCAGCAAAAAAUUCUCCAGCUCAUGAAGUGGCGAGGGCAGUGUUAAGAAUACACCCCAGUCCUGUGCUUUUACUUCAGGAUGCAGUGGGAAACAAGGCAUGCAGAGAGCAAAUAAUGAUGCAAGGUUUGUUUGUUUCUAUUUU
rnacentral:lncRNA from 1 species